GGAAGAUGCCGCACUCAACCAAACUCAUACAUCUAGUCAUCCACGGAAAUUGUUUUUUUUUUAUUUCUGUUCAUAAAGUACUCAAAAGAAAACGUACACAAAAAAACAACUUGCAUAGAAUAUGUAACGCGAGUUUUUUUCUUUCUUUUGUUUUACGCACCCUUUUAGACUAUGGAAAUUUUUCAGUAUGUUGCAGUUUGUGGAUCCAAAAACAAGUUCUCGCGUGUUUUCUCAAGUGAAUAAGAAAUGCCACGAAAAUAUAAAAGAACAACAAACCAAGGAAGUUGGAGCGAAGAGGCAUUGGAGGAUGCUCGAAAAAGCAUUGAAGAUGGGAUGUCCGUUCGGAAAGCCGAAAAAUUGUUUGGCGUACCGGCUAGAACUCUUUCGAGACGGUUAAAAGAUGGAAAUUUUGUAAAGAAACCACUAGGCUUUAUGGGUGUUCUUGGAAAAGAAAAUAAAAGAAAGCUAGCAGAUCACAUAAAAAAAUUAGCGGCUGCAGGAUUUGGUGUUGACAGAGAAGGAAUUAGGAGCUUGGCGUUUAAGCUAGCGGAGAAAAUGAAUAUCAAACACAAAUUUAACUCAACUAAAAAAAAAAGCUGUAUAUGCAUGGCUUGCCUCCUUUUUGGAAAGGAAUAAAGACAUUUCAUUAAGACAAUCCGAAGGGCUUUCCCUUUCCCGCGCUCAGGGUAUGAAUCGAUCGGCAGCAAAUGACUUUUUUGAAGUUCUUCACAAAGUUUUAACUGAAAACAAUUUAAUGGACAAACCCGGAAUUUUCCCUCUGCACAGACUGUGGACGUGAUGAGGAACGAAAAAAACAUG